UACGGGGGGGGCAAGCGUUGUUCGGAAUUACUGGGCGUAAAGGGCGCGUAGGCGGCUUUUCAAGUCGGGCGUGAAAUCUCCAGGCUUAACCUGGAAGGGUCGUUCGAUACUGUUAAGCUAGAGUGUGGAAGAGGCUACUGGAAUUCCGUGUGUAGCGGUGAAAUUCGUAGAUAUUAGGAGGAAUACCGGUGGCGAAGGCGGCCUUCUGGACCAUUCUUGACGCUGAGACGCGAAAGCGUGGGGAGCAAACAGG
rnacentral:rRNA from 1 species